rnacentral:rRNA from 1 species
AGAGUUUGAUCCUGGCUCAGAUUGAACGCUGGCGGCAGGCCUAACACAUGCAAGUCGAGCGGUAACACAGGAGAGCUUGCUCUCUGGGUGACGAGCGGCGGACGGGUGAGUAAUGUCUGGGAAACUGCCUGAUGGAGGGGGAUAACUACUGGAAACGGUAGCUAAUACCGCAUGACCUCGCAAGAGCAAAGUGGGGGACCUUCGGGCCUCACGCCAUCGGAUGUGCCCAGAUGGGAUUAGCUAGUAGGUGAGGUAAUGGCUCACCUAGGCGACGAUCCCUAGCUGGUCUGAGAGGAUGACCAGCCACACUGGAACUGAGACACGGUCCAGACUCCUACGGGAGGCAGCAGUGGGGAAUAUUGCACAAUGGGCGCAAGCCUGAUGCAGCCAUGCCGCGUGUGUGAAGAAGGCCUUCGGGUUGUAAAGCACUUUCAGCGAGGAGGAAGGCCAGUGACUUAAUAAGUGACUGGAUUGACGUUACUCGCAGAAGAAGCACCGGCUAACUCCGUGCCAGCAGCCGCGGUAAUACGGAGGGUGCAAGCGUUAAUCGGAAUUACUGGGCGUAAAGCGCACGCAGGCGGUUUGUUAAGUCAGAUGUGAAAUCCCCGAGCUUAACUUGGGAACUGCAUUUGAAACUGGCAAGCUAGAGUCUUGUAGAGGGGGGUAGAAUUCCAGGUGUAGCGGUGAAAUGCGUAGAGAUCUGGAGGAAUACCGGUGGCGAAGGCGGCCCCCUGGACAAAGACUGACGCUCAGGUGCGAAAGCGUGGGGAGCAAGCAGGAUUAGAUACCCUGGUAGUCCACGCUGUAAACGAUGUCGACUUGGAGGUUGUGCCCUUGAGGCGUGGCUUCCGGAGCUAACGCGUUAAGUCGACCGCCUGGGGAGUACGGCCGCAAGGUUAAAACUCAAAUGAAUUGACGGGGGCCCGCACAAGCGGUGGAGCAUGUGGUUUAAUUCGAUGCAACGCGAAGAACCUUACCUACCCUUGACAUCCAGAGAAUUCGCUAGAGAUAGCUUAGUGCCUUCGGGAACUCUGAGACAGGUGCUGCAUGGCUGUCGUCAGCUCGUGUUGUGAAAUGUUGGGUUAAGUCCCGCAACGAGCGCAACCCUUAUCCUUUGUUGCCAGCGAGUAAUGUCGGGAACUCAAAGGAGACUGCCGGUGACAAACCGGAGGAAGGUGGGGAUGACGUCAAGUCAUCAUGGCCCUUACGAGUAGGGCUACACACGUGCUACAAUGGCAUAUACAAAGAGAAGCGAACUCGCGAGAGCAAGCGGACCUCACAAAGUAUGUCGUAGCCGGAUCGGAGUCUGCAACUCGACUCCGUGAAGUCGGAAUCGCUAGUAAUCGUAGAUCAGAAUGCUACGGUGAAUACGUUCCCGGGCCUUGUACACACCGCCCGUCACACCAUGGGAGUGGGUUGCAAAAGAAGUAGGUAGCUUAACCUUCGGGAGGGCGCUUACCACUUUGUGAUUCAUGACUGGGGUGAAGUCGUAACAAGGUAACC